UGGGAGGCCAAGGCGGGCGGAUCACCUCAGGUACCUGUUAUUGAGUGAGAUAAGCAAAUGGUAUUUCAGGACCAAAACAUCUGUUUCCUGAAGAGUUGCUCCUUUAAUUGUGUAUCUACCUACCUGUCUAUGUAACUCUUGGUAAAUGAAUUAAUUUGUUAGUUAAAAUCAAUCUAUUAAUUCAUAAUGAAUGGGAUAUCUUGUGGGAGGUACAUGUGCUUUGCAAAUACAUGGAAAGACGAGACUUUCCUAACAGGUUCUGGAAUUCAGGUUGAUAUUACCUUUUUAAAAAUUUUUAAGGAUUAAUAGCUAAAAAGAUCAAGUCAGUUUCUUCAUUUCUCCUGAAGGCCUGUUUCCAUCAGAUUUUAUCUCUGCCUAGGCAAAUACAUUGGAGACUUCUCAACUUUCUGCUUCUGAUGAUCUCAACUUGUGGUAUGGCAAAAGGAGAGCAAAAUGUUCACCCAGGGGUCUGAGUUUGGUUCAAGAGAGGAACUACAGCUGUUGGUGACUACAACCAUCUGCCCAGAUGACAUCGUGAUCAACUCCUCUGAAUCACUCUAAAGGAACGAGAAGUCCUGGCAGCUGAGUCAUGAUCCCCCAGGAGCCAUUAAGAAGUUAAUCUUCAGUCACUUCCAUCCAAACAGAAGAAAACCCAUGAAGGAUGAGAACUAUGGGUCCUGAGAAUGACAGGUAAUUGGUGCCACUUUAUUCACAGAAUCCAAUAAAUAGUACUCUUUGAUUCACAUAUUUAAUGCUCAUUAUUGUACAUUUUUAUAAAGACAAGUUAGUCUAAAUUGCCAUUCAUCUCUUUCUUAUCAAAGUCCUACCCAACACAUGAUCAUAUCAUCAGAAAUCAGAUAUUUUCUUGUUGAAUGCCCUACCUAACUCAUUCAAUUGUAAUUUUCUGGGAAUGGUGACCAGAGAUUUGAUAUUUUUGGAAGUUACAUCAAAUCCUCAUUACUUUAUAAGUGAUUUAAAAUUUAUCACAUGGUACACUUUUCAUAUCUUUCAAAGGAUUAAUAUAUAAAAAAUAUAUAGUUAAUGCUCAGCUUUAAAGACAUUAAAGGACAGAGUUAUACAGAAAGAAAGAUCCAGAGAUCUUUCUUUAAUAAAGAUAUUAAAAUUGAAUCUGCUUAUUCAAGUAUAAUGAUAGAACAGAAAGAGAUCUUAAAAUUGUUUAAUCUCUUCCUUGGCUUUCAAAAAUAUAAAGUCUUCUUUAUUGGAGAUUUCUUUAUCCAUAGAAUAUCUUAAUUCCCCACUCCCCAACUUCCUCCCCAUGUGAAGUUUUAUCUGUCUUUAAAAUAUUUGUGUUGUCUUCUUCAGGAUAUAUCAUUGAUUGGCACUUUUUGAUUCUAGUUUUAUAUACUGUUAUCCUUGUAUAUUAAAGUAGGUCUCAAAUAUAUCUUUCAUGGUGGUGUGUAAGGUUCUGAGAGAGCUGGAAAAAAGGUAUAAGCUCCCUUCUAAAGUGCAAGUAUAUACUUGCAGAGAUAUUUUUUCACUUACAUUCUUGGAGAUCAUCCAUGGUCUCCCCAUGUCUUUUACAAAAGAGGUUUCCAGCACCUAUUAGGGAAGCUAGAUGGUCACUUGUAUCUUCCUUAUCUCUGUAUUAGAUGAUAAUAUCGAAUGCAGGUAAGUGGUGGUGGGGAGAGUAAUAUUGACAGAAUAGUUAUAUGGCAAACAUUGGCACCUCAGAAAUUUUUUGCUUUUUUGAGGGCUCUUAUUAAUAUUUGCAAACUUUAAAAAGCCUUGAAAAGAGUUUUAUCCAGAGCUCACCACAUAUAGAAAAACAGAUCUCUCUUGUUAUGGGAAUUGAGGCUAGUCCAAAUUCCCCCAGAUUAAACAUCUUUCCUCAUUUGGCACAUUCUUCAGCUGUUCCUUAAGAAAAAAUCAUACUAAGGAAAGUUAAUUCUGGGAAGUCUAGAAUUAGAAUAAAAUUAUUACACUAAAAGGAAAGCCCAGAUAUCUCUUUAAAAAUGCUUAAUUUUUUUGAAAACUCACAUCAGCACCAGAUCAUUUCUUUAAUGUGUACAGAUUUCCUUUCUUCAUUGACUAAAUAGCUUUGCUAAACGAGAUUAAAACCACAUAACUCAAAUGAGACAUAUAAGAUCUUGAAUAAUGUUCACAUAGCUACAACAUCAAAUUCCAGUGCUAAUAUAAAUUAUGUCUACUACGUUUUCAUUUAUUUGGGAUUAUCUGUUUGCCUCAAGUGGUGUAAAAAAAUUGAGCAGGAACCACCUGAAACUUCCUUUCACAACAAGAGAAAGUUGUAAUUUGUAUUUACUUUACCUAGCUUUCUUUAUAUGAAUGUAGCCAAGAAGCAGGGGAGGAAGGACAAUUACAGGAAAUUGUGAUAGGAAACUAUUAGGAAAAGCAAUUUGUAAUUUCUGCUAAAACUCUAGGUAAAUAACCCUGAGCAUUCAUAGUCUGGCAAGU
rnacentral:lncRNA from 1 species